rnacentral:snRNA from 1 species
AGCUUUGCGCAGUGGCAGUAUCGUGGCCAAUGAAGUUCGUCUGAGGUGCGAUAUUGCUAAUUGAUCUUUAUUUCUCUGAGCCAUGCUUUAGUAAUCUUUACCCGAACAGUAAGAAUAACCUGGAAAAGACUGUGUUUCAGGAAGUCAAAACCAAUGAAGCAAUCAUGUUUGAUUUACUAGCAAUAGG